GGGGGUACACAUGGCGCAGACUUGUUACCCACUAGCUCUAACAGCGCAGUCCGGGAUGCGCACGGCAGCGUUUGCUGGAUGAGCAGCUCUCGCCCACUGCAGUGCGUUUGCCUGUGAACCCAUUUGAAACAAAGAGGCUCGCACCAGGGAAGCCCCAACCUGGACAAUACAAAUAUUUCAGCAUCCAAACGGUUAAUGAUUGCAUUUUAAAUCAAAAUGCUCUCCAUGACUGCCUGCUUUGCAGCACUAGGGUAAGUCCCAUUUUUCCACAGCUUAAACAAAAAUAUGCCUAAGAAAUCUAUGCUAGAAAGGCAUUUGUUGUUUUUUUGUUUUAUGAAAAAAGCGCAAUGUUGUUGGAAAAACAGCCUUUUUUUUUUUUUUUUCUUUUCUCCAAAUAUGUGAAAUUGUGCAUUUGCAAAACAGAGCUACUAUCAAGCAAGCCAAUUCUUUGUGAAGGCGACAAGUCUCCAAACUUGUAAUAAAUUAUCAGCAGCAGCAUUAAGAAAGAAAAUAUAAAACAAAACAUGCUUUGAGAAUUGACUGAAUAUUUUAUUUGUCUUUUUUCUUUUAUUGAGACAUCUUUUGAAAAAUGGCACAAAACAAAUAGUUUUGCAAAGCAACAAUACAAUCAAUCUCUAAACUAGAAGAUAAAUCAAGGAUUUCAUUAACUGCUGGUAGCCAGUUUAAAUUGUAGUCUUGUCCAUAAUGUCUAUCUAUCUAUGUAUGUCCAAGUUAUAUUAAAAACCUUUAAAUGGCUUUGUAAUAUCAGCUACAUCUAGCUAUUAUAAUAAUUAAUGAUACUGUUUUAUAAAUCAAUAUAUGUAUUCUUGAUAAAUUCAUAUCCAGUUAAUGGUGUAAUUUAAAUAAAAAAUUAAUGUAAUAAAGGACAUACUGGAAUAGGCAGGAAAUCUUUAAAGGUUAAGAGGCAAAUUUGUCUAAAUUCUUUUCUUUGUACCUAUUUUUGAGAAAGCGUCCAUUGAAAUUCAGCUGCUAGCAGGCUCGCACUUACGACCACGCUCUGGCCAUUAGUUUUGGAUUAACAGCAGUCGUGGAGUUUUUCAGGCAGAUGCAGCGAGAGGUCCUUCAGCUGAACGAGUGCGUCCCUCCCUGCUUCCUAAUCCUGCUGCAAAACUGCAAACAAAAGUCGCAGGGAGGAAUGCGCCAGCCUUUGGCCAGAAAGAGAAAGGGCAUGGAGUGCUUUGAAAGGAGAGUGGAAGCCCGGCAGCCUCCGCAGCGUAAUAAAAAUCUGUUCUUUAUCUCGUGUUUUAAAUACAGUUAAUCCAGUUUAUUCAGCAAACACAUCUAAGAGAAACUUGGGGGGGGGGGGGGGAAGGCUGAAAAUUGCCUUUUCAUAUUUCUAGAUUGCACAUUGGUGAGAAACCGUGGCUCAGUUCCUUUGCUUUUAUUUGUAAUCAGUGACCACAAAAUGUAUCUCUAAGAAUAACACGGGAUUUUAAUAGGCAAUAUUAAUUGUUCUUACCAUAACUUUUGAUCUUAAAUGUUUAAAACAAAAGCUCGCUGCCUGUUUAUACACUGGGUGUUUUAUGAAGAAUAUCUUUUGAAAUUAUGCAAAACAUGAAGCUUUGUCAUCCGCGUUGACAUGGUACAGAAAUGUCACUUUAAUCCAGUGAGAUUUUUUUUUGACGUUUUUCUUAACAUUGCUCUGCCUUAUUUAGAGCAGCGGCAGCGCUCUGCGCAGUUUCCUUUGACACUGAUGGGUAUUUCAAAACGUUGCGCGGAGGGGAGGGAGAGAGAAAAAAGAAUUUGCUGCCAGUCACUUCAGCAAUGCAGCUACACGAGCCAUUGCCAUUUGCUAAAAGUUUACAUUUCAAAUGAGCUUUGAAUGUAAAGAUGCAUUAUCAUGACGCUGGCUCCGUGUUUAGAAACGAAGGGGGGAAACAGAGGGAGGACGAUUACUGUUGUGUGCGAAAGCGUGCCCGCACGUUCGUAACGUGGCCAUUUAAAACCUAUUUUGGUUUUCGGUGAAACUAGGAGCAGGAGACACAUCGCCGUCCCUCGGAGGCUUAAUUUAGGCUUUGUAGGAAAAACAUCAAAUGGGAGCUUCCAGCAAUGCCCCGAAAUGUAUUGCGCGUCUUAAAUAUCUUCAUUUUGAAACGUGCCUUAUUUUUUCCCCUCCCAGGAUCGCUAGCGUGUCUCUCCCCAGACAAAGCAAGGACAAGCCGCAUUCUUAAAAAUUAUCUGCCUUACAGAUCGCGUUCCCAGGCAUGUUCCCUGCGUUUUAUUGCCAUGGAUAACCCCUUAAUGGUAUCACAAUUUUAGACUUGUUAAGUGGACAUCUUCCGUGUAUUUAACUGCAAAAAAAGUGACUUCAUUUAGGGGUGGGAGGAACGAGAAAAUGCUCUGGGAUGAUUAGAAACAUAAGUUUCUAUCUUCUGUCACACAAUCCUAUCAAUUAUUCAAAACCUACUAAAUUUAGAUGUCUGUUCCUAAAACAUUGUUUGCGCUCGUUCCCUGGAAAGAUGGAGGCGGCUGAUAAUUUGACUAAAUUAUGCGCUUGAGCCGAAUGGUUAUGAAUGAAACACUUUCCGUGCCGGUGCAGAGUUGAAGUCAGGGGGAUAGGUUCCCCCCUGCCAAAAUUUGCCUUCCCCUCAUGGGAGCGAGCACCACUGGGGGCCGGCACGUGGCUGGGGCGCUGCUGACAUCGGCGUGGGCCAGGCCAUGGCCUGGCAGCUGACGAAGCCCUGUCAUGGUGCCACACAGGGAGGUUUGGCCCGUUGGAUGGUGGGGCUAAAGGCAGCAAAGGGCCUAAAGCAGCACUGGAGGCGCCUCAUGCCCCAGAUAGCUGUUACCUGAGUGUAAAGUAAUGAUUGCUGCUGCCACAGGAUGAGCUGUGGGAGGUGCGGGGUGGGUGCCGCGGGUUGAGUAGGCAGCCCAGCUCUGUGACAAGGAACAUCACCUCGUUACCGGCGGGGAGCACCCCGCUCGCUUCGUUAGCAGCGGGACCUCCUCUGCUCAAGGAGGUGCUGUUCCGGUGGAAGGUAAUUCGGGGGAUGGCAGCAUGGCCCUGGGCAAAGGCAGAAGGGCUGACAGCAGUGAUGCUGCUGCCCAGUAUGGAAGAGAAAGCAAGCCAAAAAUAUUAAAAAAAAACCAAACACCACCACCCAGCAGAAACACCACUCAAGCUUUUCUUUUUUUUUUUUUUUUUUUUUACAAUGACACUCGGUAAUUCCUGAACCAUGGGCAGCCUUAGGUGGGGGGAAAAAUAUAAUAUAUUUAUAUUUGGAAACCCACACAGAAAGCAAAUGGCAGGAGCCCCCUGCCCCUCUGAAGUCACACGGGUGUGACGUGUGUGCCCCUCUUUGCAACCCUGGCAUGAACGCAGGCCGGUGGGGAAGGAGGGGGAAAAAUCACACAACGCAAAAAAAAAAAAAAAAAAAGUAAAAAGAAACAACAAAGCAACAACAACAACAACAAAGGAUGUGUAAGCGCUUUCAUUUAUUUUGAUAAUCCUCCUCCCUGCUCCAGAGCGUUUUGCUGUCUUUGUCAAAGUGAAUGACAACAAUUUGGCCAACUCUCUCUGAGCCGCGCUCGGCAGUGACAGGCAAAUUAUCAGAGGCCCUGCACUCCUUAUUAUCAGAGGAGAAGUCAUCAGGAGGACGUGCGGAGGAUCCCUCUCCCCUGUCACUAUUUGUCAGUGGGACAAGGGCCACUGCUAUGGGUAGCUGACAGGUAAUUUCAACAAUAACAAUUACUCCUAUUACUGGUGUCAUAAACAAUUCGCCCAAGGCAUGACAAUAGCAAAGCUUUAUAAUUCAAUGCCAUAUAAAUAAAUGCCAGCAGGUAACAAGUAAUUUAGCUCCAAUCAGGCCUUGGCCCCGGCAUUAAUAUUGUUAUUGCAAGAAGAUGGAAAAUUGAAAAAAUUCAAUAUGUUAAUGAAUUAAGAGAGGGUCAAAGGCUAAGGGAGGGAAGGAGUGAGCGGGGAGGGAAAAAAACAAAAGCAAAAGCGCCGAAAAGCCCACGUUGAGGCCCAGCCCCACACGUGGCCUCCUGCAGCGCCGUGGCUGGGUGCAAAGCACCCUCCUGCCCGUCCCCGGCCCCUGCACCCCGCGGCUCUACAUGAGCCUCGGCUGUGCCAUGCUAUAGGCAGAAUCCCCCCCGAAAUGUUACGCACGGUGUGAGUUUAACAGAGAGGAGAGGUUUGUUUUAAACUCCGUCGCUUUACCGUCUUGCUUUGUGUUUCCCUUUAAUUUUUUUUUUUUUUUUAAGCAAGCUCUGUUAAACCACAGCUCCUUAUUUAUCAGGAAGAAGGAUUUUAUUGUCCUCGCCCUCUCCCCCAGUGCCCUUCAUAGGCCCUCCCAUGAAAACGAGGAUCAGCGGUGAGCAAGCUGCAGAGCGAUCGCCCAGCGUCUGACUUCUCUAUCAGCCCAAUUUGCAAUUUUGCUAGUUGUCCAGCAAAGACAAUGCGGCAUCAGCUUGACAGCAGUAAAAGAAUUUGAAAAAUCUCUAAUUAGGGGAGCUGCGGAGCAAUUAACGCAUGUCAAAUUUCACUUCAUCAAGUGCCACUCUAAUUUUCCCACUAAAAAUUAAUGGACUUUUUGUGUGUGUGUGUGUGUGUGUGUGUGUGUGCGCGCGUGUGUCCCCUCAAGGCAAUGUUGAUUCAAAUCUGCUCAAGAUGCAGCGUUGCACAGCUAAGCAUCUUCUUGAUUACAACCCGCCACACUUCUAACUGCUUUCAUUCUCACUGCCACAGAUACUUUGUCAACAGUCAAAUUACGCCACGCUGAUAACAAUGCAUAAUGGUCUUCCUCAAAGGAGGCUCCUGUCAUGGAGCAGCCUUUCAUAAAAAUGUACCAUUUUCUUCCCCAGGAAAUAUAUCUGUCUGAAAAUGAAGUUUUUUGUGGUUUUGGCAUUAGCUGCGAUGUAAUCCUUUA